UACGGAGGGUGCAAGCGUUAUCCGGAUUCACUGGGUUUAAAGGGUGCGUAGGUGGGCAGUUAAGUCAGUGGUGAAAUCUCCGGGCUCAACCCGGAAACUGCCAUUGAUACUAUCUAUCUUGAAUAUCGUGGAGGUAAGCGGAAUAUGUCAUGUAGCGGUGAAAUGCUUAGAUAUGUCACAGAACACCAAUUGCGAAGGCAGCUUACUAUGGUUUUAUUGACACUGAGGCACGAAAGCGUGGGGAUCAAACAGG
rnacentral:rRNA from 1 species